UGGGGAAUAUUGGACAAUGGGCGAAAGCCUGAUCCAGCCAUGCCGCGUGUGUGAAGAAGGCCUUUUGGUUGUAAAGCACUUUAAGUGGGGAGGAAAAGCUUAUGGUUAAUACCCAUAAGCCCUGACGUUACCCACAGAGUAAGCACCGGCUAACUCUGUGCCAGCAGCCGCGGUAAUACAGAGGGUGCAAGCGUUAAUCGGAAUUACUGGGCGUAAAGCGCGCGUAGGUGGUUAUUUAAGUCAGAUGUGAAAGCCCCGGGCUUAACCUGGGAACUGCAUCUGAUACUGGAUAACUAGAGUAGGUGAGAGGGGAGUAGAAUUCCAGGUGUAGCGGUGAAAUGCGCAGAGAUCUGGAGGAAUACCGAUGGCGAAGGCAGCUCCCUGGCAUCAUACUGACACUGAGGUGCGAAAGCGUGGGUAGCAAACAGGAUUAGAUACCCUGGUAGUCCACGCCGUAAACGAUGUCUACCAGUCGUUGGGUCUUUUAAAGACUUAGUGACGCAGUUAACGCAAUAAGUAGACCGCCUGGGGAGUACGGCCGCAAGGUUA
rnacentral:rRNA from 1 species